GGGGUCAUGGUAUAGUGGCAUUACGGCAGGCUCCAGACCUGCAAAUCGGAGUUCGAUUCUCCGUGACCCCA
rnacentral:tRNA from 1 species